rnacentral:rRNA from 1 species
UACGUAGGGUGCGAGCGUUGUCCGGAAUUACUGGGCGUAAAGAGCUCGUAGGUGGUUUGUCACGUCGUCUGUGAAAUUCCGGGGCUUAACCUCGGGCGUGCAGGCGAUACGGGCAAUACUUGAGUGCUGUAGGGGAGACUGGAAUUCCUGGUGGAGCGGUAAAAUGCGCAGAGAUCAGGAGGAACACCGGUGGCGAAGGCGGCUUUCUGGCUGACAACUGACGCUGAGGCGCGAAAGCGUGGGGAGCAAACAGGAUUAGAUACCCGCGUAGU